CUCCCAUAUCUAUAUAAGAAAAGCUCAAAAUACUUUCCUUAAAAACAAACCCGAAAUACUAGAAAUUGAUCAACAAAGUCGACGCUCCUUUUUUUCUUCUCCCUUACGCAAUUCUCAUCCUCGUAAUUUCACUCAAUCUUCGAAGAAGACCAAAUUCAAUUCAAAAUUCCACGAACAUAUAAACAAGAAAUCAAGGAUUUUUCAAGAAGUUGACGAACAAAUUCUGAACUUUUAGUCGGUACCGCAACUUCUCUGCUACUUUGCUUGCUAAUGGCACUCGUUUUUGCUAAACUCAAUGGAUGACUCCACGGAAGUUGAUCAUAUGAAGCAACGUACAACAAAUGCGCAUAAUACUUUUGAAUGCCCAACUAGUGGUCCAAGCACUAGUAGAGAACCAACUAUUUGCGUCGCACCUGGGACCACCAUUUGCGUCGCACCUUGGUCCGACGGCACAAGUCUCGACGUAGAUGAGAGAGACAGUAUCUGCAUCAGACAAGCACACGACGCAUAUGAUUAAUCAUGUGGAGAAUUCGUAGUAGGAGACUUUUAGAGCGUAAAAGUGGCCUACAGAUUCGUUUAUACAAGAGUUGAGACGGCAUUGACAUUACAGGUUCGAAGAUGCAUAUCAUUGGGGAAUCUGGAAUGGAGAGGCUCUUGUAUUACUAGAACCAUUUAAGUUGUUUUCUAGGAGUUUAUGUUUUCAGACAUUAGUUUUAAGUUGGUGUGUUUCAGUUUCAAACAUUGUUAUUGGUUUCUUAUUUCAUAAGUUCAAUAAAGUUGGUUUUUAGUAAA